CGCAAGGUGCUGACGAGUGGCGAACGGGUGAGUAAUGCAUCGGAACGUGCCCAGUCGUGGGGGAUAACGCAGCGAAAGCUGCGCUAAUACCGCAUACGAUCUAUGGAUGAAAGCGGGGGACCGAAAGGCCUCGCGCGAUUGGAGCGGCCGAUGUCAGAUUAGGUAGUUGGUGGGGUAAAGGCUCACCAAGCCAACGAUCUGUAGCUGGUCUGAGAGGACGACCAGCCACACUGGAACUGAGACACGGUCCAGACUCCUACGGGAGGCAGCAGUGGGGAAUUUUGGACAAUGGGCGCAAGCCUGAUCCAGCAAGCCGCGUGCAGGAAGAAGGCCUUCGGGUUGUAAACUGCUUUUGUACGGAACGAAACGGCGAGCUCUAAUACAGCUUGCUAAUGACGGUACCGUAAGAAUAAGCACCGGCUAACUACGUGCCAGCAGCCGCGGUAAUACGUAGGGUGCAAGCGUUAAUCGGAAUUACUGGGCGUAAAGCGUGCGCAGGCGGUUUUGUAAGACAGUCGUGAAAUCCCCGGGCUCAACCUGGGAAUUGCGAUUGUGACUGCAAAGCUGGAGUGCGGCAGAGGGGGAUGGAAUUCCGCGUGUAGCAGUGAAAUGCGUAGAUAUGCGGAGGAACACCGAUGGCGAAGGCAAUCCCCUGGGCCUGCACUGACGCUCAUGCACGAAAGCGUGGGGAGCAAACAGG
rnacentral:rRNA from 1 species